GAAAGUGGUGUAGUGGAAGCACUAGGGGUUUUGAUCUCCUGAGGAGGGGUUCGAACCCCCUUUUUCU
rnacentral:tRNA from 1 species